CGGCAGUUGCUCGACUUGAGCCAAUACUGGUAAUAUUUUUUUUCCUUAAAGUCGGCGGUAAUACAAAGAGUGAAAGUGAAACAACGAAAGAAAAUAAAAAUCGGAUAAUUUGAAAAGAUUAAUAUGCAUAAACAUUCGCUGGUUGGUGGUUGGUUGGUGGUAAAAUGGUUUUAUGGCACUGCGCUAGCGGAUCUUGCAGCGGAUUCAGCUGAACUGCGAGGAUAUGCCUGUGAAGGCAAAACUGUUGAAUGAACAUCGCUACAUAACAUGAUCUUAAAUCGAAUCUUUACCUUCGAUUUUUUUUGUUUUCAUUUAUUUGUGUCGAUGUCGAAUAAGAACAGCAAAAAACAAAUGAAGCUAACAAUAGAGAACAUUCUUCCAAUCGUUCUUGGAAAAUAAGAAGAAGAAAAUGCUAAAAGGCAAUAUAAAAUAUAUAAUACUAA